rnacentral:rRNA from 1 species
GUAGGGUGCGAGCGUUGUCCGGAAUUAUUGGGCGUAAAGGGCUCGUAGGCGGUUUGUCGCGUCGGGAGUGAAAACUCAGGGCUUAACCCUGAGCCUGCUUCCGAUACGGGCAGACUAGAGGUAUGCAGGGGAGAACGGAAUUCCUGGUGUAGCGGUGAAAUGCGCAGAUAUCAGGAGGAACACCGGUGGCGAAGGCGGUUCUCUGGGCAUUACCUGACGCUGAGGAGCGAAAGUGUGGGGAGCGAACAGGAUUAGAUACCCUGGUAGUCCACACCGUAAACGUUGGGCGCUAGGUGUGGGACUCAUUCCACGAGUUCCGUGCCGCAGCUAACGCAUUAAGCGCCCCGCCUGGGGAGUACGGCCGCAAGGCUAAA